UACGUAGGGGGCAAGCGUUGUCCGGAAUCAUUGGGCGUAAAGCGCGCGUAGGCGGCCCGGUAAGUCCGUUGUGAAAGUCAAAGGCUCAACCUUUGAACGCCGAUGGAUACUGCCGGGCUAGAGUCCGGGAGAGGGAUGCGGAAUUCCAGGUGUAGCGGUGAAAUGCGUAGAUAUCUGGAGGAACACCGGUGGCGAAGGCGGCAUCCUGGACCGGCAUUGACGCUGAGGCGCGAAAGCUAGGGGAGCAAACGGG
rnacentral:rRNA from 1 species